GUACGCUGGCGGCACGCCUUAUACAUGCAAGUCGAACGAAGUAGCAAUACUUAGUGGCAGACGGGUGAGUAACAUGUAGGUAUCUUCCCUUUGGUGAGGAAUAACACGAGGAAACUUGUGCUAAUACCUCAUAAGUCUUUACGGAGAAAGCUUUAUGCGCCAGAGGAUGAGCCUGCACUUGAUUAGUUUGUUGGCGGGGUAAUGGCCCACCAAGACUUUGAUCAAUAGCUGAUCUGAGAGGAUGAUCAGCCACAUUGGGACUGAGACACGGCCCAAACUCCUACGGGAGGCAGCAGUAGGGAAUAUUGCACAAUGGAGGAAACUCUGAUGCAGCGAUGCCGCGUGAGUGAAGAAGGCCCUUGGGUUGUAAAGCUCUUUCGUCGGGGAAGAAAAUGACUGUACCCGAAUAAGAAGGUCCGGCUAACUUCGUG
rnacentral:rRNA from 1 species